rfam:Glycine max cultivar Williams 82 chromosome 4, whole genome shotgun sequence.
GGUCUAUUAGUUCAGUUAGUUAGAGUGUUGUGUUAAUAACGCGAAAGUCUCAAGUUCGAUUCCUGCUUGAACCA